rnacentral:tRNA from 1 species
UUUUGCCCUGUACGCAUAAUUGCAGCGCCGCCUGUUGGCAUUUCAAAAAUUUGAGAUUUUGAGCUACUCCA